GCGAAGCAAAAUACAAAAGGAUACUAAUUGGUACUAGGAAAUAUAUUUAUUAUCGAGUUUUAUUAUUGUACAUGUUGCUCUUAUGCGAUUAAACGAGGAUGCCGUACGGCAGAAAUUUGCGCAAACGUUUAACGAGCAUUAAAAUAAUUCCAUGCCUGAGAAUCGCGAUCACAGAUGCAGCGCGACGAUUAAAUUUAUCACCUCUAUUAUUACGAAUAAA